rnacentral:rRNA from 1 species
AUUGAACGCUGGCGGCAGGCUUAACACAUGCAAGUCGAGCGAGCGGCGGACGGGUGAGUAAUGUCUGGGAAACUGCCUGAUGGAGGGGGAUAACUACUGGAAACGGUAGCUAAUACCGCAUACCAUCAGAUGUGCCCAGAUGGGAUUAGCUAGUAGGUGGGGUAAUGGCUCACCUAGGCGACGAUCCCUAGCUGGUCUGAGAGGAUGACCAGCAAGACUGGAACUGAGACACGGUCCAAACUCCUACGGGAGGCAGGCUUGGGGAAUAUUUCACAAUGGGCGCAAGCCUGAUGCAGCAAUGCCGCGUGUGUGAAGAAGGCAUUCGGGUUGUAAAGCACUUGCAGCGAGGAGGCGUUACUCGCAGAAGAAGCACCGGCUAACUCCGUGCCAGCAGCCGCGGUAAUAC